UACAGAGGGUGCGAGCGUUAAUCGGAAUUACUGGGCGUAAAGCGUGCGUAGGCGGUUCGUUAAGUCUGUUGUGAAAGCCCCGGGCUCAACCUGGGAAUGGCAAUGGAUACUGGCGAGCUAGAGUGUGUCAGAGGAUGGUGGAAUUCCCGGUGUAGCGGUGAAAUGCGUAGAGAUCGGGAGGAACAUCAGUGGCGAAGGCGGCCAUCUGGGACAACACUGACGCUGAGGCACGAAAGCGUGGGGAGCAAACAGG
rnacentral:rRNA from 1 species